GCAGCGGGAUCGGUCGUUGGGUUUUACGGCGCUUUUUCAUUUUUAGCCGAAUUCAUCCUAAAAUCUUUCUUCAACUUUCCAUCAAUUUAGUUGGAAGACAACAUUCCCCCUUUUUUUGUUGUCUCUUUUUUUUUUGGGUUCAAGUGGCCUUUAUUUGAAAGUGGGCAGGAUAGCAGGUAAAGAGGGAAGACAUGCGGUAAAUAUCUUCCCUCUUUACCUGGACCGGGAAUCGAACCUGCGACCCCUUAUCUGUGUUUGUGCCACCACAUCCUUUUUUAAAUAUAUUUAUUUCCAGUAUCUCCUCACCCUUCACUUUUCCACCACAUUACUUAAAUUGAAAUAUAUAUAUUGUGGUUUUUGCUACAUUUGUUUCAUGAAUCUGUCCUCAGCAGUGAAUGAUUUCAUUUCUUAUUAAUAUUAAUACAUAGACUAGAAGUUUAUGGGGAAAAUCUACGGAUUUAGACGUCAUCCAGCAGGUCCUGGUCCAUCAGAUGGAUUCGUCGCCAACUUUUCUCUGUCCUUUCUAAUCAACUUUGCUCCCAUUGCUGCUCGGUUCGUUCUGAAGCUUCAUGAUUCGCUGCUCAAGCCUCUCCAAACGCACCGCAUGGGGCCCCUCAGACUGACACAGUAGUGAGGAUUCCUUACUCUGUGAAAAUAAUAGCGGGAGCAGAGCGGCGCUCCUGCUCAGUCGAGGCGGAGGGAAGAAAAUCUGAGGGAGCAGCGAGUCGCCGGGAAGGGAGAUAACCGCUUCCACGCUCCGUGGGAGCAAAACCCACGCCACGUCCUUCACUCUGAAGGAGACCCUCACAAGCACCAAACUUUGGUUCCUCCUCGUCCCCGGUGCAGAACCUGUGGGGAUCUGACAGGGGCCUGCGCGCGGCGCGAACAAAAGGGACGACCUCGGAAGCGAACUCCAGGGCUUAAUUCGACACAUUAGCUGCAGUCACACUCCAGCGCCGAGCACAAAUCUCCAAAUCUGGAGCAAAUUCGGCUCCUUUAAAGCACGGAUCAUCUGCGAAAUGUCGAUUUUCUCAAGACGGUGAGCAUGACGUCUCUUUAUGUCGUCUUCGCCCUGAAACAAAUCUGUAUUGUGUUUUUCGCAAGUGUGCAAUAAAAAAAACAAGUCAGCAGAAGCCGAGCUCUGUGUCUGUUUGUGUUAAAAAUGAGCGCACCCUGGAGCGCCUCACUUGGGUCUCUUCUUCUCCUCCUCAAUGACCCUUGAGGCUGGGACAAGCGUCUCUUUGAGGACAGAUGGACAGACGGUGCACCAACAGCCAAACAUCGGGCUGCUUAAGACAGCAGAGCCGCUCUCCAGCUUCUCCCUUACUGUCAGGCACUUCCUGUAAAUAUGUUUUUAGGUGUGUUUGCAAACACGAAUGCCAGCGAGUUGACAGGAGCAGCGCGGCGGCGGCAGGAACACAGAGAGAGAAACCCCACAGAGCCGCGGAUUUAAAAAUAUCUGCACCCCACCACCGCCGAAAGAGGAAUGAGGGAAGAAAAGCAGCAGUUCGACGGCACCGAUUGGGGUGAAUUUGUCACAGCAGCAAAAAAAAAAAAAAAAAACUAAACUAAAAAAUAGCAGCACAGUGGAACAGUCAAGAUUCUAUCAACAAAAAGUAAAAAAAAUUGACGGAAAAAAUAAACCCAACUCGGUACACACUUUCUGCUUUCAUUGGAUGUCACAGGGAAAUAGUUGUUUGCUGCUGAAACAAGUUCCUGUUAGCACAACACCAGGUAGGAAAGACAUCGGCAAUGACCUCUGGGUGUACACAAAGAGGAAGAGCAAGAGCAGCAGAGGCGGAAAGUCGUCGAACGAAGCAACAUGAUGAAGAAGAGUGAACAAAAACCCUCCCCGUGAUGACCUACGGGUGGGGCAUCCAUGGGGUGUACUUGCUUUUUCCAUGCACAAACUUUCUCCUUUUUUAUCAUUAUUUGGUAAAUAACAAUAAACUGUAGCGUGUUGCCAGUUUUUGUAUACUCAAUGCGAUUGCUUUCCCCUCUUGACAAACUGUUAAACUACAGCAGGCUGUACUUUCUUUUCCAAGCUAGUCAGUGAUCAGUGAUGUGUGUGGAAGCAGAUGUAACCCAGAGCAGAGCAGGAAGUGACCGCUAGUUAAGACGCUUCAGCCUGAUCCGCCAGACAGCCAUCGAUCGGGCUGCUCGUUAGGAGAGCGAGGCCGGCCCGGAGGAUCGGUCCUGACACCGUUAACACCACGCUCUUUAACGAACCACCGUCAGCGGAGCGGGACCCGGUCAUUGACCCCGCCGGCCCGCUGCGGCCCCUUCCUGCCUGACCGGGGCGAGAAGGGAGCCGCGCCGUGUGUUGCUAUCGAUCCACAGGCAGCAAUUUGUUGCCUUGGAAGCAACCGAGCAAACAAAUACAGAUUAAAUACAGGAAUUUGAAAGAGCUUCUGUUGAAUUAGUUUUCAUCCAGAAGUGGCAGUACAAUGUCAGGACGGGAAACCAACAGCAAUGAUCUUCCUGUUGUUUUUGUGUUCUGCAGCUGUUCUUAAAUGUUCUAUGUAAAUAAAUUUGAUUUGAUUCAUUAUAAAAUUAUCAGUGAAUCAGUUUUUACAUCCAGAGAAUCCAGCUGUUUUUAUCCAAUCAGACAGACAGCGUCAGUUUGUGUUUCUGGUUUUCAUUGGACGGUUGUUGGUUGUUGAUGUUCCACAGCACUUUGCUCUGGUCCAGUAGCUCCAACAUGAAUGUAAUAUGACCAGAUUCAAGAGGUAUGAUGCCACAAAGCCAAAACAUUUGGAUAGUGAACAUUGUAAGCAGCAACUUUAACGUUGACG